rnacentral:rRNA from 1 species
AUUGAACGCUGGCGGCAGGCUUAACACAUGCAAGUCGAGCGGAGAUGAGGUGCUUGCACCUUAUCUUAGCGGCGGACGGGUGAGUAAUGCUUAGGAAUCUGCCUAUUAGUGGGGGACAACAUUCCGAAAGGAAUGCUAAUACCGCAUACGCCCUACGGGGGAAAGCAGGGGAUCUUCGGACCUUGCGCUAAUAGAUGAGCCUAAGUCGGAUUAGCUAGUUGGUGGGGUAAAGGCCUACCAAGGCGACGAUCAGUAGCGGGUCUGAGAGGAUGAUCCGCCACACUGGGACUGAGACACGGCCCAGACUCCUACGGGAGGCAGCAGUGGGGAAUAUUGGACAAUGGGCGGAAGACUGAUCCAGCCAUGCCGCGUGUGUGAAGAAGGCCUUUUGGUUGUAAAGCACUUUAGGCGAGGAGGAGGCUACCUGGAUUAAUACUCUAGGAUAGUGGACGUUACUCGCAGAAUAAGCACCGGCUAACUCUGUGCCAGCAGCCGCAGUAAAAC